rnacentral:rRNA from 1 species
GAUGAACGCUGGCGGCGUGCCUAAUACAUGCAAGUCGAGCGAACAGACGAGGAGCUUGCUCCUCUGACGUUAGCGGCGGACGGGUGAGUAACACGUGGAUAACCUACCUAUAAGACUGGGAUAACUUCGGGAAACCGGAGCUAAUACCGGAUAAUAUAUUGAACCGCAUGGUUCAAUAGUGAAAGACGGUUUUGCUGUCACUUAUAGAUGGAUCCGCGCCGCAUUAGCUAGUUGGUAAGGUAACGGCUUACCAAGGCAACGAUGCGUAGCCGACCUGAGAGGGUGAUCGGGCACACGGGAACUGAGGCACGGUCCAGACUCCUACGGGAGGCAGCAGUAGGGAAUCUUCCGCAAUGGGCGAAAGCCUGACGGAGCAACGCCGCGUGAGUGAUGAAGGUCUUCGGAUCGUAAAACUCUGUUAUUAGGGAAGAACAAAUGUGUAAGUAACUAUGCACGUCUUGACGGUACCUAAUCAGAAAGCCACGGCUAACUACGUG